rnacentral:rRNA from 1 species
CCUACGGGUGGCAGCAGUGAGGAAUAUUGGUCAAUGGACGAGAGCCUGAACCAGCCAUGUCGCGUGCAGGAUGACGGCUCUAUGAUUUGUAAACUUCUUUUGUAUGGGGGUAAACUCCGAUACGUGUUUCGUGUUGUAUGUAUCAUACGAAUAAGCAUCGGCUAACUCCGUGCCAGCAGCCGCGGUAAUACGGAGGAUGCGAGCGUUAUCCGGAUUUAUUGGGUUUAAAGGGUGCGUAGGUGGUUAAUUAAGUUAGCGGUGAAAGGUUGUGGCUCAACCCUGAAACUGCCUUUAAAACUGGUUGACUAGAGUAUAGUUGCGGUAGGCGGAAUGUGUGGUGUAGCGGUGAAAUGCAUAGAGAUCACACAGAACACCGAUUGCGAAGGCAGCUUACUAAACUAUAACUGACGCUGAAGCACGAAAGCGUGGGGAGCAAACAGGAUUAGAUACCCCUGUAGUC